GAUGAACGCUAGCGGCAGGCUUAACACAUGCAAGUCGAGGGGUAUAGUUCUCCGGAAUUAGAGACCGGCGCACGGGUGCGUAACGCGUAUGCAAUCUACCUUUUGCAGAGGGAUAGCCCAGAGAAAUUUGGAUUAAUACCUCAUAGUAUAGUACAACCGCAUGGUUGAGUUAUUAAAGUCACAACGGCAAAAGAUGAGCA
rnacentral:rRNA from 1 species